GAUAAAAAUAAAUUGAGGAAUUUCAUUGGAGUCAGUCAUCCAUCAUCUGCUUAUAACUGGGAGACAGGUGACUCAUUUUGGUUCAUAUUGCUGAUUGGCUGUUGAGGAUAAUUGCUUUUUGAUUGGUUUGUGAAAAUUGGAACUUCAGAUUCCAAGAAAUACUCCUGCAAUGAUGAGGAACCGAGCCACUCAGCAGUAUUUCUCCCAGUAAGACACAGAACAUCCUUGACAGCUCAGGCAUCUCAGUUCCAGCUAUGAUUGCUCAUUUACACGUGUAAGAGAUUUGCUUUAUUAUGUUUUACAAACAAAGAAAAUAAACGCGUGGAAUUAAG